UUUAAUCGGAGUGGCGUUUUG
rnacentral:piRNA from 1 species